rnacentral:sRNA from 1 species
GGUUUGUUGUAUCUUAAUGUUGUUGCUGUGAUAGCUGUUGUAAAGGUGAUGGAACUAAUUACUAGCAUUAACAUUAAUUGUUGUACUGGGUUUUGUGUAUUCUGAUGUUGUUGCUGUUGUGAUGGUGGUGGGACUGUUUACAUUAGUUAUUGUACUGGGUUUGUUGUAUUCUAAUGUUGUUGUUGUGAUAGUUGUGGCGGUGACGGAACUAACUACUAGCAUUAACAUUAGUUGUUGUACUAGGUUUUCUGUAUUUUGAUGUUGUUGCUGUGAUAGCUGUUGUGAUGGUGAUGGAACAAUAAGCAUUAACAUUAGUUGUUGUACUGGGUUUGUUGUAUCUCGAUGUUGUUGUGUGUUAGUUGUUGUUAUGGUGACGGAAUUCACUGUUAACAUAAAUUGUUGUACUUGGUUUGUUGUAUCUUGAUGUCGUGUUCGUUGUUGUGAUUGGUGAUGGUUUAGUUUGAUGUAUAGAUAGUUCCCAAUUUGAAGUGUUGUGCAUGCUCUAUUGAUGGUGAUGGUGACAGGACAAACUCAAAUCUGGAAUAAUCUGUGUUUAGUUGUUCCGCAUGUUUUUGAAUACUAACACCUUAGAUAACUAGUUUACCUUGAAAAUUGAUGUUGUAAACUAAAUGUUGUGAGAUUGCAUGCUUUAAUAGUGUAGUUGUCUGGUAUAGGAUUGAUGUUGUAUGUAAGUGUUGUUUUUUGUAUGUUGUUUUAGGAUAUGAUUAUUUUUAUUUGUUGUGUAAAUGGGAAAGGGAAAAUAGACGUUGCUAGAAUGUUAAAUGGGAAAAGAACGAUGACACGAAAAUAUUAGUUUUACAUCAAGACACAGCAAAUCUUACGAAGUUAUGGUAGAUGUCUGGUUUAGGCACUGUUUGCAAGUGUAGUUGCAAGGAUACAUUGUCCGGAUAUGGUAAAAUGAGGUAAAUGCCCACAUCUUUAAUCUUUUGUGUACAUAGUUGUAGUUGAAAAGCAGUAGUUUUAAGACCGAUAUCUAAAAUAUUUCAAAGUUUCACUAUUUGGAUGCAAGCAUUUCUGCUUGCCUCUUAGGAGAAGGUGUGUAAUGUGAUAUUUGUUAUGGAGUCUGCUGUUACAAACAGUCGGUGGUCGUUUGUUGAAGGAAGUUUAGUUUGAGUUACUUCUUGAUAUACAAAGGAAAUAGGAGCAUUAUGAUAUAACUGUGGUUUGACAUUGUGCAAUUGACCGUUAAUUAAAUAUGCGAUACGUUUUCAUCUUGGUUUACAUUGUAUAUGAUUAUGUGUUUCUCUUGACGCUUAUUGUACAAAUAUCAUCAUACAUAAUUAAGACUUUAUUCCAUGACUCAUUGAAUAUUUUUGUAUCAUACUUCGCUUUGACUUGUUUUUAUUAAUGAUAUAAAAUGUAUUGAUUCGAUGUGCAUGUAGUUCAUAUAUAUAUAUUUUGACUUUAAAGUGUCUUCAAAGUAAGUCGGUAAAGCCGGCUACUAUUGUUAGAUGAUGAAUGGACAUUUGAAACGAAAUCCAUAUUUCUUAGAAAUUUAUUACUUCGUUUUAUUUAUAAAUGUCCCUUUUCAUUUGUUAAAAAUAAAUUAGUCUCAGGUGCUACUACCAUACAGGUGGAGGGUUUGAUACAAACAAAAGUUGUAAUAAAAAUAUCAAAAUAUUAUGAAAUAUC